rnacentral:rRNA from 1 species
GACGAACGCUGGCGGCGUGCUUAACACAUGCAAGUCGAACGGAAAGGCCCUGCUUUUGUGGGGUGCUCGAGUGGCGAACGGGUGUGUAACACGUGAGUAACCUGCCCUUGACUUUGGGAUAACUUCAGGAAACUGGGGCUAAUACCGGAUAGGAGCUCCUGCUGCAUGGUGGGGGUUGGAAAGUUUCGGCGGUUGGGGAUGGACUCGCGGCUUAUCAGCUUGUUGGUGGGGUAGUGGCUUACCAAGGCUUUGACGGGUAGCCGGCCUGAGAGGGUGACCGGGCACAUUGGGACUGAGAUACGGCCCAGACUCGUACGGGAGGCAGCAGUGGGAAAUAUUGCUCAGUGAGCGGAAGCCUGAUGCAGCAACGCCGCGUGCGGGAUAUCGGCCUUCGGGUUGUAAACCGAUUUCGCCUGUGACGAGGCGUGAGUGACGGUAAUGGGUAAAGAAGCACCGGCUAACUACGUG